GGUUAAAAAGCUCGUAGUUGGAUUUCUGUUGAGGGCGACCGGUACAGCCUUUGGUUGUCAUCUGGUUCGGUCUUGGCAUCCUCUUGGGGAACGUUUUCGUGCUUGAUUGCAUGGGGCGGAAUUCAAGACUUUUACUUUGAGGAAAUUAGAGUGUUCACGGCAAGCAAGUGCUUUGAAUACAUUAGCAUGGAAUAAUAAUAUAGGACCUUUGUUCUAUUUUGUUGGUUUCUAGAACUAAGGUAAUGAUUAAUAGGGACAAUUGGGGGCAUUCGUAUUAACACGUCAGAGGUGGAAUUCUAGGAUUGUGUUACGACGAACUACUGCGAAAGCAUUUGCCAAGGAUGUUUUCAUUGAUCAAGAACGAAAGUAUGGGGAUCGAAGACGAUUAGAUACCGUCGUAGUCUAUACCAUAAACUAUGCCAAUUAGAGAUUGGAGGUCGUUCGUUUUAUGACUCCUUCAGCACCUUAUGAGAAAUCAAAAUUUUUGGGUUCC
rnacentral:rRNA from 1 species